GAAUGAAAGUGCUUUGUAGUUAAUUUCCCUCUCUGUUACACUGUGACAUAGGAAUCCUUUUCAAAGUGAGAGAGAGAGAGAGCCAGCUUCCCCACUGCCCUUGGCCGGCAAAGAAUAUCAUGUCUCAAUCGGUACCUCUCACCCCUCCAUACAUAUACAAUUACCAAGGACCUUAGCGAUUUGAAGAAUUCAUGUGAAAGAAUAAAUGGUAUUAAAUUGGAUCAGUGGUAACCCACAUUCCUAAUUUUUUCAUCUGAUCUCUGCACCAGUAGAAGGAGAAUUGCAUCUUUAGUACAGUUAUAAUCAAAAUUGUUCAAUCCCCAUUGAAAAUCAGGUUUAUUGUCAAUUUGUACAGACUUUCAGCUGUUUGCAAUGAACAAAUCAGACUUAAUAGCUCAACAAAAUGAGUGCUUCAAGUGGUUUGCCAAAUUCAACUGAAAAUGAUAUUGACUUCUCUUGUCUCAAAAUUAUUCAACCCCUUCAUGGCAAGUAUCGUUAGUACUUAACAGAGCACCCUUUUGCUGUUAUCACCUGCUCUAAACAAGAUGCAUAGCCAGACACCAGCCUUGGCAGCGUUCCUGAUAAAUCUCACAAGCAAUAGCCUCCAGUUCAGUAAUAUUCUUGGGUUUUCGUGCUGCAAUAGCCUUCUUCAAAUCCCACCAGAGAUUUUCUGUGGGAUUUAAGUGAGGUGAUUGUGAUGGCCAUUGUAGAGUUUUCCAGGACUACUUCUGCAACCAAUCCUUGCUGUAAUUUGAGGUAUGCUUGGAUCAUUGUCUUUUUGGAAGGCACAAUGACGCUCAAGUUUUAGCUUCCUCACCGAUGACAUGACGUUUUCUCCUAGAAUUUCUUGAUACUUCAAUGAAUCCAUCCUGCCUUCCACACGCUGCAGGUUUCCAUUGCCAGUGGAUGCAAAGCAGCAUCACACAGCAUCUCCACAGCAUCACCACCAUGCUUAACAGUAGGAAGAGUAUUGCUUCAUUACUCUUCCUCCAGACAUACCGCUGAUCCAUUGGGCUGAAAAGUUCCAGUGUAGUUUUAUCGCUCCACAGAACAAAAUCCCCAAACUUCUAUGGCUUAGUUAUAUGAAUUUUGAGCAUAUUGGAGUCCAC